rnacentral:lncRNA from 1 species
GAAGAUUAAAUUUUCGGACGAGUCAAGCGGCAAAAUUGGGGCAGAUUUGAUUUGAUUUGACAAGAACAAAAACAAAAGCCAGUAGCUUAGUUUAGUUUAGUUUUUGUAGGCCAAAACCCAACUCCUAAAAAAGUUAGUAAAGUGCCUCUCUCUCUCUCUCUCGCUCUCUCUCUCCUACUCACAUUCANAGGUACGAAACCCAAACCUACCUAAAAAAGUUAAAGUUAAAGUGCCUCUCUCUCUCUCUCUCGCUCUCUCUCUCUCUCCACUCACAUUCACUGAGAAAGACCAACGCACUCAUCAACAAAUGUAGAAAAUCAGAACCCUUAAUUGCCCCAUAAAUUCAAAGGUUUGGAUUU